AUGAAGGGAGAGAUAGAGGAAGAGAACAGCAGGGGACUAGUGUCGAGGCAAUUCUCAAUUCUAGCCACGAACAAUCGCUUAACAGCUUGCCAAGGGCUCAGCAGCUGGUCACUGGUCCCAGAAUCAAUCUUUUUAUAGGCAAGCAACCUGUCUCUUUUUCACUUAAAAUUCAGCCUAAAGCUAAGAUGGCUUCCCUGUUGGUCAUGACUCUUGCAGAGACCCCCACUCCAUCAGCGAAUACAGGAGAGAUGAGCUGAGGGCCGAUGACUGGGCUAAUAUGGGGCUGGAGGAGCCAGUUCCCAGCUUGUUUCUUCCUGCCUUAAGGACCUGUCACUGGAACAGGCAGAGGCCUUGUGCGGGGAGUGGUGUGGAAAUGACAUUUCUCCAGCUUCUCAAAGAUCUAAUAAGCCACAAGAUCCUAUCAUUUCGUCUUUGACUGUACUUUGUAGUCUUUCCUAUAUUAACAUCUAAGCUCCAGAGGACCAAAUCACAGAUGUGUGUUUAUUUAUUUUGAUUAAAAUACUAGUUAACUUUUA